AAAGCUGCGAAGAGUCCCAACUGGAGAUGCAGGUGGCAGCGGAGAUGGCGAGAAUAGGAGAGUCCGACCGGAGAUGCAGGUGGCAGCGGAGAUGGCGAGAAUAGGAGAGUCCGACCGGAGAUGCAGGUGGCAGCGGAGAUGGCAAGAGUAAGAGAGUCCCAACUGGAGAUGCAGGUGGCAGCGGAGAUGGCGAGAGUAAGAGAGUCCCGACCGGAGACGCAGGUGGCAGCGGAGAUGGCGAGAAUAGGAGAGUCCGACCGGAGAUGCAGGUGGCAGUGGAGAUGGCGAGAGUAAGAGAGUCCCGACCGGAGAUGCAGGUGGCAGUGGAGAUGGCGCGAGUAAGGGAGUCUGACUGGAGAUGCAGGUGGCAGCGGAGAUGGCCGGAAUAGAGCACUCGUUUGGAGGAAAAGCGGACAGGUCGACAGGAUGGAUGUGAUGGGGGCCCCGAAGGAGAGGAUGCUGUAGAGACUGACAUGGCACCUCUGGUGAUCCCGUCGCUCAGGAAAUGCUCGUUGUUUUCCAGCUGUGUUGCUCAGAAGCUCUUGGGACAGUUUUUGGUGCAUUAUGAGCACUCAGAGAUGUGGUGCUAUUGCU
rnacentral:lncRNA from 1 species